AAAUAUCUCUGUUUUAAACUUGACUCUCAAAAUAAAAAAAUCUGAUUUUUUGUCUUUUCUGUAUCCCUGCGAUCCCCACCGCCACCGCCUCCUUCGGAUUGAUUCCAAGAUGCCCUCUGCUCUUAAGUUCACACGGAAGUUGGAAAUACAUCAUCAACAAGUAAACAACUGUUAUAGGUUGUCAAUUGUAGAAAACCAAAGCUGUGUCCCCAAAGUCCUUCAAGUUUUGGAACUACAUAGAAGGUGCUCUUUGUCCUGCUUGAUUGAUUGACAAACAGGACUACCAUCUCAAUCUGGGCCUCAAUAUGAUGCUUUUUCGUUGUUUCAUUAUGAUCAUUUAGUCUUUGGAAAAUCAUGCUUUAGUGUGUGGUUGUUAUAUCGGUCUUGGUAGUGUUAUCGAGUACAUUGAAAAAAUAUAUUUUUGUUAUAUGUCAGUGAUGUUGUGUUGAUCUAGAUUCAGGGGAUAUUAAUUUUAUCUGUACUAUUGAAUUACCUAUUCAAUAAGGAGGUUUUUAAAUGUGUAAGACAAAUUCAGCUCUCUUCAACAAAGCUUCAAUCCAGAACAUUCAAGUCUAAAAACUAGACAUGCAAUUUAGAUUCAGGGAUAUUAAUUUUAUUCAAGUUAUGAGGUUGUUGUGUUUCAUUCAAGUUGAACAUCUUCUUUCAGCAAUUUUUAGGUUUUUUGCAAGCAUGUUUACAUAUGUGAGAUCAGAAAUAGGUGAAGAGCUCUCAUCUGCACACAUUGAAGAAUUUUGGUAAUGCUUACUUGAUAAACCAUUUCCAUGACAUAACUGUUUUGUAACUGAGGAGAGAGACACACUAACAAGAAAAAAUCAAAUUUUGGGGGCUUCCAUUAUGUGUGAUGGUCUUCAAGGAAAUGGUAUGACGGUUUCCCCUAGGCUUCUCACACUAGAGUUUAGCUUUGGAUCAAAUUUUUAGUUUAGUUUUCUUCUGCAAAAAGACUGGGCAAUUUACUUAUUUUUAGUUGAUUUGCUAAUGGUGCAAAGUACUAGCUAGGAAUCCACAGGAUAGGUUUUUGGCUUUAGUGAAUUGGUUUUGUUUGGAUCUCAAUGUAUUGAUUGUGACAUGUACUUCAAAUAAAGUUGCAAAUAAGAGUCUUGGGAUUCCUGAUC